rnacentral:rRNA from 1 species
UGAAGGCGGUGACCGCAAGGAGCUGCCUAGGGUAAAACUAGUAACUAGGGCUAAGUCGUAACAAGGUAGCCGUACCGGAAGGUGCGGCUGGAACACCUCCUUU